UUUAAUUCAGUAGUAAGAAUAUGGGUGAAGGUCCUGGAGGGAAAGGCGUACGGCGAGCGGCUGAAGUCGCUCGGUUUGCUCAGCCUGGAGCGGACUGAGGGCAGAGCUCACAGCAGCUCUGCAGCAUCCUCGCAAGGAGGAGGAGCUGGCCCUGAUCUCUGCUCUGUGUGACCAGGGACAGGACCCAGGGAACAGCUGGAACUGCGUCAGGGGAGGGUUAGGGUGGAUUUUAGGAAAUGUUCUUCACCCAGAGGGUGGUUGGGAACUGAACAGGCUCCUCCAGGCAGUGGUCACAGAACCCAGCCUGACAGAGCUCCAGGAGCAUUUGGACAAUGCUCUUGAGCACGGGGUGGGAUUGUUGGGGUGUCUGGUGCAGGGCCAGGCAUUGGGCUGGAUGAUCCUUGUUGGUCUUUUUCAGUUUCAGACUUCCUGUGAUUCUGCAAUAACUGUGUCCCUCUCAGGUUUGGACACAGCACUUGUUUGCUUUGCCCCUGGAGUGCAGCUGACCCACCAGCCUAGGUCUCUGGACCAGCUUAAGACUCAGAAAUGCUUUUUAUUUUUAACCUUCCUUUAUUAUAAAAGUCUCUUGUUUUCCCACUCCUUAACUUCACAUGUAUGAGCCCUUUGUGCUUCCUCCCAGCAGGCAGCUGGGUGUUCAAGGAAAAGUGUUGGCUUUACGGGAUUACAGGAUCCCAGGCAGGAUUACAUCCAAGAUCAUCAAAUAAAUGUAAAUUAAUGAAACACCUGAAUUCAGAAGAAAUUGACCAUGCCAUUGGUUGAAAAACUCUGUAGGCCGCAUUAAGAAGCUGAGUCCACAGAUACAGUUCCUGGGCUUUCUGUCUCUUGUAGGUAUACAGGUGCUUAAAGGGAUACAGGAUUUAUGUGAGGAUGCACUUUGCCAUGGUGUAUUCCAUAGGGCUUUGCUCACCAAACUCACAAAGUGUGCAAAGAAUUAUCUUAGACAGGUGGCUGAGGAAGGCAUCACCUAUAUUAUAUAUUCCAUCUCUUCAAAUUGACAUCCAGAGUUGUCUCCUUGCUAAGUCUGCUUUUUUCUCCUAAUAAUUUCUUGAGGCUUACAGGUGUGUAUCCUCCAGGAUGUGCUCUGAAGAUUUCAAUAGAAAGAAGAAGCUUGACUCAACCACCAGAGAAGCCCUGCAGCCCACACCUAGGCAAUCCUGAACCCUCCCUUGCCUGUGAGACCUGUGUGGAGUCUCCCAGGCAGGAAAACUCCCCUCAGAAGUGGCACACUGAGAACUCUCCCCAGCCAGCCACAGAAUCAUCCUCUGCCUGCUCCUGCCUUCUGAUUCCUCCUUUCAUUCAUUUGUGUGGGUGCCUUUUUUCAGCAGAGUGGAUCAGCUCCUGCAGCUGAGAUUCCCAUUCCACAUCACUGCAUUUACAGUCAGAUGGAAGGAAAGGGAUGCUUCAAAUUCCCAGGAGCUGACUCUGGAUCAUGUCUCUCUUGGUUUGGUGUCAGACCUCUGGGAGAUUAUAUAAAUAGCUAGUGCAUCUUCCCACUGCAUUUUCUAAGUUCCUAGGAACUGGCAGCAAGUUGGAGUUGGUCAUCCUGACUGGAAAACUGCUUCUCUUCUACCCAGAAAAGGCCAACUUACUGUCUGAGGUGGGCUUUCCCCUGUCCUUGGCACCUCCAGCAGCUGCAGAGGCAGUUUUCUGUUUGAUUUUGGUCAUCAUGUCUUGAGGUACCUUGCUUUCUCUGCCUGCUGCACAGAGUUUGAGUGCCUGAACACAUCUGGAACCCAGCAGAGUGUGAGCAGGAGAGGGCUUGUCCCAUGCUGUGAGUAUCCCAUGUGGAUUGGGCUGCGCUGUCUCUUAGCCCACAAAACUGGGCUGCAGCAGUUGAGUAUGCCCCUUUCCCUUCAAGGACAUACCUCCUUGGUGUGUAUACACAUACAUAUAUAUAUGUAUCCCUGGUAUGUCCCUUCUCUGCAAAGAGGCCCAGCAGCACCAAGAGCAGGGCCCUGUACCCUGAAGUGCUCCUGCUUCCUGCAGUGCCUGGUGUUAUGUUGGGCUGAGGGGCAGUUGGGACAUUAACCUCCCACUCCGACAUCCUCCUCGUAAACAUCCUGUCCCGCUCAAGUCCUGUGCUGUCACAUCCUCUCUGCUUUGCCCAGACACUAUUCUGGGUUUAGUUCUACAUGCAGAGCACACAGCGGGGCAUUCCAAAAUCCAGGCAGGCAGCAGGACAGAACAGUAACUUUGUUCAGCUGCUGACAUGCUACAAGUACUGCAGAGGAGGAGAGUUGUUUAAACGUCUUCUUAAAACUAAAAUCAUCUGCUUGAGCCCUCCUUGGAAAGCCAGUUUGCUCCCCUAGGUAUGUUCAGCAGCUGUACCUUACUCCAAGCAGAUGCAAACCUGUGCAUAUGGCAUGAAAAACCUUGGUAAUAAUGGAAGGGAGCAGAACAGAGAUCUUGGAAACUGCAGCACAGUAAGUUUACACAAGCAGCAAGUAAAACACCCAUCCCCGGUGAGUCAGUCCUGGCCGUUUCCUUCAUUUCCUCCAAGGCUCGCUAUGAACAUCCAGUGGUACCAGCCCUUCUGAAAUCCAGUCAUCCCCUUUCCUGCCUCUUGUUUACGGCCUCCAGCACUGCAUUUUCACUGCAGCAGACUGAGAGAAGUGCAGAUUCUCCCCUGGCCUCAGCUCAGCUUUGGUAGCACAGUGCUCUGUCUGCUUUUGUGGGUGCCAGCACCUUCUUGAGCUACAGCAGGUGCUGAAUUAAGAGAGGAAAAAGUGUCACAGUUACACAAUAGGGUUUUUUAAAAAAAAAUCUUGAAUGCAGCUAUAUCAUUGACAAAGGUUCUUUAUCCCUACAGCCAUACCUUUGGAUUCAGCCUGGUAGGGUAGAAAGAAGCACUGGGGUGUUAGGUUGUUUUAAGUGUGUAUUACAUCCCUGCGAUAUGGGUUGGAUCUUCCCUGCUUCAGAUUGAGAUGUAUCUCGUGCUCUGAUUUCCCCACAUGACAGCAGCUAGGGAGGAGGACUAUUUUUAGCUUUUGUUUAUUGGUUUGUUUACAGGAAAUUCUUCAUUUGUGGGAGUGAGCUUGGGUCUGUGUUAGUCUGAGAAUCCGCUUCAGUGCCAGUUGUGGAUGUAUUUACAAGGGUGAACUGCUGCUGUUGUCUGGGAAGAGGAAUCAUUUAUCCCAGCUAAAUCCUUGUGCAAAUCUGAAGCCGAGCCCUCAUGCUGCAGUAAAUUGUUGCCCAGCCCAUGAUACCUUUCACAUCCCUGUGCAGUGUCUUUGUACAAGUCCUGGAGGUGGAGAUCUCCAAGCCUGGAUGUGUGAUAGUGGAGUGCCCCCUCAUGGGAAGCUGUUCCUGAUGCUGAUUCCUGGCUGCAUCCAGGGGCUUGUUUCCUGCUGAGGUGCUUUCACUGAUGCUGAGUGAGGACGGGGUGAAUCCUCGUUCCAGCUCUUCUCACUGGGAAUAAACAGAUCAGGCUUUUCUCCGGGGUCAGCCAGCUGAUUCUGAGUCAGUUUGUCUUCUGAAAGGGAUGUGUGGAAUAGAAACAGUGAAGUCGUAAGAGCAGAGAAGACAGAAGCCCAAAGGGGAAAAAGGUACUGAUGACAAAUUCCCCUGCAAGCUCAGACAUCAAUCCGUGGAAGAGCGAGUGUCAGGAGCCUGGUUAUGGAGCCAUGGGGCCAUUUAUGGACAGCCUUUGCUGGAGCCACUGAAAUUUCAAUCUGCAUCCCCCUGCAGCUGCACACAGAGAUGCACUGACACCACAAGCAGAGCUCAGAAGGAGUGACCACAAGUACACACGGAAGAGGAGAUGAGGCUUUUGGAAGAAAAGAAAGUGGAAACAGAGCUCCAAGGGAUGAGAAAAGUAGUACAAACCUGGCAGCUCCAGUCCUCAGAGGUACUUAGCAAGACAUGAGCAUCGAUUCCAGCUGUGUGACAUCCACUUGGAAAAGAUACCAAAUUGAACCUCCUCUGAGGAUACUCCUCGUGUGCAAAAAAGGGCACAUUUCUGUUUAAUGCCUUUGUUCUGCUUUCUCUUAACUCCCUGCUGCUCCCCCCAGGUUCCUGUUUGAUGGCAUGGAUUGCAUGGUGGCAUUACCAACUUGAGGAAUCCUGAGAUGUUCAUUACCACCCACCCAAGACUGCAAUUUUCCCUCACUUGUGCCAGCCUUGCUGUUUGUGGAGCUGUGCUGAGCACUGGAUCAGGGAAGCAAUCCAAAUUAAAAAUAACUCAGUAGUGUGGCUGGUGAUGGCAAGAGUUUUAGCCAUCCAGGAUAAUCUGCAGUCACAAAUCAGCAAAAGCUGCUUGCCAUUUCAGAUGUCAUGAAAGCCCAGCCUCAGAGAUACCUAUUUAAUACAAGGAAUAUGAACCUUUCUGCCAGUGAAGGAGCCUGGGGAAUGAGGAGGCAGGAAUCCUUUGCCCAUGUUCACAAGGGACACAAGAGCAAACCUCACUGUGUCCAGAUGGCAGCACAAAACAUUUUCACACAGGUUUUGCUUUAGCAGUCCUUCACAUGAUGCUUUUGGAACAAAAGUUAGUGGCAGUGUGUGCCAUUCCACUGAUGGAUGUUCUUCAUUCUGCGGAUUAGGGAGAAAGCGACAUGGAUUUUUAAGUGUACUGCAAAUACGGGGGCUGUGCCAUCUCCAGGAAAAUGAAUAAAAGAGCCUUCUUCACAGACAGCUUCAUGGUACAGAGUGAAGUAACAAUUUGUGGAUGCAUUCCAGAAGAGGAUGUAUUCCUCUUCUCUGCUCUAGAGAAACAAUGCCACUGCUGUGAUGCACCAGCACUAACAUUCAUGAUCAUAUCAGCAGUGGCUUUACUGUCACCUACUGACAGACUUGGAGGAAGCAUUAGAAUUAGUCAUUCUCUCUUGUAUUCCAAGCCAUGUCUGGUUUUCUUUUGGCAUCUCUUCAGUUCAUGGUUCAUGCCUCCUGGGUUGAGUAUUUCUAAGUACCAGUCAUUUCCUUUUUUUCCCCUCCUGCUUCUGACUUGGCACUUCACCUCUGCUCUCCCCAGGAACGUUCCUGCUGGGAGGUGACUGACUUGAGCACUGAUGGCAAAGGUGGUGAAUUCAGAGACUCAGAGCCUGAGGAGUUUCAGGAUCUUCUCAGGUUACAUUUCUAGAGAAAGGAACUCACUUUCUCUCCACAUGCAUUCAUGGCUCUGGUCAAAACAAGGUGGAAGAUGCAGGUGAAACCCACAAUCACAUUGGCAGCUGCAUCCCAAAUUAGCCAAAGGAAAGUGCCUGAAGCUUAGGGCAGGAUGUGGCUGCCCUGAGGCAAACCCUGAGUGCUUUCACAGCAACCCCUCUUCUCAGGACAGCCCUGACCAGUAACAUCAAGGCUGACCAUGCCAGGGAACUUGGAUUCAACGGUCCAGACCAAAUAACAUCAUGUUUUACCAUCUUCUUUCACCUCUCUAAAAGUAUGAGGAGCUGUGUUCAUUAAUUCUUCCUUCUCUAGACACAGGAAAAAUGCUCUGUUUCAGCCCCUUGAUUCCUGCAUUCCACUGCUGCUUCCCUUUUCCCAAUAAUUGUUAAAAUACUUUUUUUUCAGUAAAGCAUCUUGUGGUUCCUGUUUCACCCUGUGUUCACAUAAAGGCUUGAUCAUAUGUCCAAAGAAUUGAGAAGAUGCCUGAAAUCCCUCUAAUGUGUACUACAUGUAAACUCUGUUUUUCCUGUUUUGUUUGGUAUUUCUGCCUGAAGGCAUCAGGAGAAAUCCAAAGGUCAUCUGUUAAAGAAAUCAGGCAAGCAAAGAAAGCAAUAGACCAGCAAAGAGGCACCUUCUUAAGCACAACAGCCAGGUGCAAAGCUGUGGGAAGAAACUUCCCAGUCCUUGUCUUGGAAAAGAUCUGCUAAGGCUGGGAAAAGGGACAUGGAAGGAUACACACAGGCCUGUCAAAAGCUCUGCCAUCUGUAAAAGCAGGGGCACAUUUUGUGUGCUUGGAGGUGCUCUGGGGUAAGCAGGGCGAGGCUGCCCUUUUGUGAGGGGAGACACUGACAGAGCAGGGACAGACAGAGAGGCCUCCUCUGUGGUUCUGUGUUUGAAGAUGGGAAAGCACAAACAUCUCAGCCGCAGGCAGGCAGAGUUCAGCAGCAUUGUGGGGAAGGUCAGCUGGAGGGAGAGACAGAGCAGAAAAUGUCCCAAGACAACACAUGAGCAGUAGGGCAAUUGUAAGAGCUCUGGAAAGCAAAAAGAAACAAGUCCAGGUAUGAGGGAUCAGUGGGGGAUCUGAAAAGUUGUGACCCUUCUUCCAUGCAGCUAUUAUUACCUGCAAAUUACAUUUUCCCAUCAGCGUGAGGAAGUUCAACCCUCCCCCAGUCUUCCUUCCUAGUUGUUCAUCCAGUUUCAGCCCCUUCUGCUCUCCCUUCCCCUCACGUGGUGGCCUGGUUCAGCCAUUCACCACUGCAAUGGCAAAAUGCUUUGGGACACCUUGACUUUGGGUCUGUUGCCUCUUCUGACCUCCCUUUGCUCAGUCUUCUGAAACUUCCUUUAGUUCCUUUUUUUUUCCAGAGAAGGGGCUCCUGCUGAUGUGUCUCUGGCUAUUCAGACCAGUGUUGCUGAAGUGAAGAAGAAACAGAGCCUGAAGUAAAAGUCUCCUGUGCAUGCAGGGACACUUUUUGUGAUACAUCUCAAAAAAUGUUUUAGAGAAUAGGCAUAAAAUACUUCAAAAAUUUACUGAACACACAAAAACACACCUCUUGUCCAAGACCACAAGAAAUCUGUUUUUCCAGUCACAAUGAAGCAGAGUGUAAAAAGCUGUAUUUCAGUCAUCACUAUUACAUGUAUUUUUUAACUAGCAGCGGACUAGAAAACUGGAUCCCAUGCAUCCCAAGUAGCACUGAGAAAACAACCUCCUCAGAACUAGGUGCUUCUACCAGCAGGAUGGUGUGUCACUGCAGAGAAAAAAAGACAAACCACUUUCCCUUAUAAAGGAAAGGUGAGCACUGAGUGCCCUCCUCUGGCUUUUCAGAUUCUUUCAGAAAUGUGAGAAAAUUAAGCCAAAUUCCAAGAAUGUCCCUCAACUCCAGAUUCUUGGGCUGAGAAACUGAUGGAAACUCACUCUGGGGAGAAAGAAAAAGCAAGCAAGCAAGAAAAAGGAAAGGGAGGGAAGGGAAUGAUAAAAAGAAGGGGAGAGAGAGAGAGAGAGAGAGAGAGGGAGAGAGUUGGGAUAACAACACCAGGGUGACAGAUUUUAUUUCAGAGACAUCAGUCAUCCAUUUGUCUCUCUCAGGUAUUUCUCAAGUGCCACAGUCCCACUGCAGGAUCUGAGCACUGUUAGCACAACAGAAAUUUGCAGUAUUCUACAUCCCACAGCUGGCAGGAACAUUUGGGCACCAGCUGGUGACCACAGGUCUGGCAUGGAGUGUGCUAGGGAUGCUCUGCUGGAAUUAGAGUAGCUAAUUGGCUUUUUCCAGUAGUCUCCCACUGGUCCUGAGGGAGGAACUGGCUGGUAGAGAAGCCACUGUGGUGGUUGCUGUCAAAGUGAACCUUCUGGUUCUUCCCUUGUUGCACAUCUCCAGUAUGUUCUGAAUUUGUCUUGUGAAUUUAUGCUGCCGACAAAGUGAUUAAAUCCCAGGAAGAAGAGGAACAUACCCUGUAACUUCUGCAGCAGCAAGGGUUUCAGAUUCUCUUCUCAAGCUACAUGACCACAGAAAGUAAAGUGCAAACAGGCCAGGGGAAAUUAAUUAUUUCAGCCAAGUGACACUGAAGAGGCAAAACUAACAGUGGCUGUGCAAAGGAACUCCAGUUAUGUGCUUAGACUGGUGAGCAAUCCCAUCAUCCUAGCUGCUAGGGAACAGCUGUGAACCCUAAGGGCACCUCCAUCUGGCAUAACUCUAAAUAAAUUAAUAAAGAUCUUAGAAAUAAAUCCAUGUCAAUCCUUUUAAUUUAUAGAGCACUGCUAAGUAUAUAUCAUGCUUCACAAAGCAUGGGGAAAGGAAAAUAAAUGCCCUGAGGGUUGAUGUGAAGGGGCAGACACCUAUCAUAAGAAAAGGAGAGAAAACACCUGCACCUUGGCCAUGUGGCAAAUGGCAUCGGAUCCUGGUACCAGGGAAAGAGGAUGGCUGGGUUUUGGUAUGCAGAACUACACCCUGGAACUCCCUGCACAAUUCCAGUCCAUGCUGGGGGUGUGUUGGGAGGAGGUGGCUGAAAAGCAAAGUGUGGGCUAAGGGCAUCACCACGUCCAGCUGUCUGGAAUCCAGGCGACCUGGUGUGGUCAUGCCCUUGUCCCCCCACCUUGUACCUCAGGGCUGGACCAGGAGCUGCACACCUUGGUUCACACCCAGACCACACUCAGGGAUGCUACCAGCACCUGUGCCCCUCUGGUGUGACAUAAGGAGAAGCUGUGACUGAAGCCCUUCCCGCAGUGGCAGCAUGUGAAAGGUUUCUCCCCCCGUGGGUGAGGGCAGAGUUGUCACUCAAGCAGGUCCCACCCUUGGCUCACUGCUGCCCCAAAGCAUCCCUGUUCCUCUGAAGACUUUCUGGGACCAAGUCUCCAGGAGAACAGACAUGUUCCCAUCACAGCUUGGAGGAGAAGAUGUCCUCAUGAGAAGUCCCCACAGAGUUUUGCCGCCCCCAGCCCAUCCCAUUGGAGACCAGGCUUUCCUUAAACACCUCCAGCUGACUUCACCUCCUCCCUAGGCAGCCCAUUCCAGUGCUUCAUCACCCUUUCAGUGAAGAAGUCCACACCUCCCCUGAUGCAGUUUGAGGCCAUUUCCUCCAGUUUUGUCCUUUGUUACCUGGGAGCAAAGCCCAACCUCCACCCUGCUGCCCCCUCCUGUCAGGGAGUUGAGCAGACAGAAGGCCCCCUGAGCCUCCUUUUCUCCAGGCUGAGCCCCCCAGCUUCCGCAGCCACACCUCAUCAGAUCUGUGCUCCAGACCCUUCCCCAUCUCGGUUCCCUUCCCUGGACAUGCUCCAGCCCCUCAAUGUCUAUCUCACAGUGAAGGGCUCAGAACUGGACACAGGAUCUGAGGUGUGGUUUCACCAGUGCCCAGUAUAGGGCUGUCCUGCAGCCCCUCCUCUGCUACACAGCCUUCACAAGCUCUUUUGCACUGCCACAUUUUUCUGUUGUCUCUCUUGUUCUCUGCAUCUGACACUCCCUGGCAUCUCUUUAUAUCACAAUUGUCUCUGAUUGGGCCCUCACAAUUAUUCAUUCCACCUCCAGAAAGAAGAGAAGGCUCUAGGGAGACCUUACUAUGGUCUUUCAGUAUAAAUAGUUUCCAUCUUUCACAUAGGCUCCCUUCAGGUAUAGCACAGGGUAAAUCUUACCUGUAUUUUCGGAAUUUGCCAAUGUUUUAAGAACCUUCUGG